AGAGUUUGAUCAUGGCUCAGGACGAACGCUGGCGGCGUGCUUAACACAUGCAAGUCGAACGGAAAGGCCCUGCUUUUGUGGGGUGCUCGAGUGGCGAACGGGUGAGUAACACGUGAGUAACCUGCCCUUGACUUUGGGAUAACUCCAGGAAACUGGGGCUAAUACCGGAUAGGAGCUCCUGCUGCAUGGUGGGGGUUGGAAAGUUUCGGCGGUUGGGGAUGGACUCGCGGCUUAUCAGCUUGUUGGUGGGGUAGUGGCUUACCAAGGCUUUGACGGGUAGCCGGCCUGAGAGGGUGACCGGCCACAUUGGGACUGAGAUACGGCCCAGACUCCUACGGGAGGCAGCAGUGGGGAAUAUUGCACAAUGGGCGGAAGCCUGAUGCAGCAACGCCGCGUGCGGGAUGACGGCCUUCGGGUUGUAAACCGCUUUCGCCUGUGACGAAGCGUGAGUGACGGUAAUGGGUAAAGAAGCACCGGCUAACUACGUGCCAGCAGCCGCGGUGAUACGUAGGGUGCGAGCGUUGUCCGGAUUUAUUGGGCGUAAAGGGCUCGUAGGUGGUUGAUCGCGUCGGAAGUGUAAUCUUGGGGCUUAACCCUGAGCGUGCUUUCGAUACGGGUUGACUUGAGGAAGGUAGGGGAGAAUGGAAUUCCUGGUGGAGCGGUGGAAUGCGCAGAUAUCAGGAGGAACACCAGUGGCGAAGGCGGUUCUCUGGGCCUUUCCUGACGCUGAGGAGCGAAAGCGUGGGGAGCGAACAGGCUUAGAUACCCUGGUAGUCCACGCUGUAAACGGUGGGUACUAGGUGUGGGGUCCAUUCCACGGGUUCCGUGCCGUAGCUAACGCUUUAAGUACCCCGCCUGGGGAGUACGGCCGCAAGGCUAAAACUCAAAGGAAUUGACGGGGCCCCGCACAAGCGGCGGAGCAUGCGGAUUAAUUCGAUGCAACGCGUAGAACCUUACCUGGGUUUGACAUGGAUCGGGAGUGCUCAGAGAUGGGUGUGCCUCUUUUGGGGUCGGUUCACAGAUGGUGCAUGGCUGUCGUCAGCUCGUGUCGUGAGAUGUUGGGUUAAGUCCCGCAACGAGCGCAACCCUUGUUCACUGUUGCCAGCACGUUAUGGUGGGGACUCAGUGGAGACCGCCGGG
rnacentral:rRNA from 1 species